UGGGGAAUAUUGCACAAUGGGCGAAAGCCUGAUGCAGCGACGCCGCGUGGGGGAUGACGGCCUUCGGGUUGUAAACCUCUUUCGUCAGGGAAGAAGCCUUUUGGGGUGACGGUACCUGGAGAAGAAGCACCGGCUAACUACGUGCCAGCAGCCGCGGUAAUACGUAGGGUGCGAGCGUUGUCCGGAAUUAUUGGGCGUAAAGAGCUUGUAGGCGGUUUGUCGCGUCUGCGGUGAAAACUCACAGCUUAACUGUGGGCGUGCCGUGGGUACGGGCAGACUAGAGUGUGGUAGGGGAGACUGGAAUUCCUGGUGUAGCGGUGAAAUGCGCAGAUAUCAGGAGGAACACCGAUGGCGAAGGCAGGUCUCUGGGCCAUAACUGACGCUGAGAAGCGAAAGCAUGGGGAGCGAACA
rnacentral:rRNA from 1 species